rnacentral:tRNA from 1 species
GGCUCGGUGGUCAAGUGGUUAAGACACUGCCCUUUCACGGCGGUAACACGGGUUCGAAUCCCGUCCGAGUCACCA